GAUGAACGCUGGCGGCGUGCCUAAUACAUGCAAGUCGAGCGAACAGACGAGGAGCUUGCUCCUCUGACGUUAGCGGCGGACGGGUGAGUAAUACGUGGAUAACCUACCUAUAAUACUGGGAUAACUUCGGGAAACCGGAGCUAAUACCGGAUAAUAUAUUGAACCGCAUGGUUCAAUAGUGAAAGACGGUUUUGCUGUCACUUAUAGAUGGAUCCGCGCCGCAUUAGCUAGUUGGUAAGGUAACGGCUUACCAAGGCGACGAUGCGUAGCCGACCUGAGAGGGUGAUCGGCCACACUGGAACUGAGACACGGUCCAGACUCCUACGGGAGGCAGCAGUAGGGAAUCUUCCGCAAUGGGCGCAAGCCUGACGGAGCAACGCCGCGUGAGUGAUGAAGGUCUUCGGAUCGUAAAACUCUGUUAUUAGGGAAGAACAAAUGUGUAAGUAACUAUGCACGUCUUGACGGUACCUAAUCAGAAAGCCACGGCUAACUACGUG
rnacentral:rRNA from 1 species